rnacentral:lncRNA from 1 species
GAAAAGUUCUCAAAAGAAUCAAUAAAAGGGUGGUGGAGGAGGAGAUGCAUACGAGACUCCGAUGACGGGUGGCAAAGGCCCUUCAUAUACAGGUGCAGGUGGUGGAGAUGACGGUGGUGGCGGUGAAUUGUAAUGAUAAACAGGUGUUGGAGGUGGCGGUGAUGGUGGUGGUGGUGAAUUAUAUUGAAUUGGGGGAGGUGGUGGUGAUGGUGAUGGUGGCGGAUGGUAAGGUGCAGAGUGUGGUGAUGGUGGUGGUGGUGAAUGCUCUUCACAAGGUGGUGGAGGUGGUGGCGGAGGAGGUGACUCUAUACAAGGUGGUGGAGAUGGGGGUGGCGGUGGUGGUGAAUAAACUGGUGGGGGAGGAGAGUGAACUGGAGGAGGUGGUGGCGGUGAUAAAUAGGGAUAAACUG